GGGCAUGAAGGUGAUGGAAAUGGUGAGGAAGACGUCUCCACUUCAAACCAAUCAAAUGAGAGACAGCUUGAAGGAUCCUUUCAACUGUCAGAUGUAUUGCCAGAGCACCUGGUAAGAAAUCUUGGUGUAAUCUACUUGACACAGCACAUGCUUAUUUAAAAUUAAGUCUCACUUGGAUGUGAGGUAAAAGUGUGAUCAUCUAAACCCCAGAAAUAUUAUUCUUCCAAACUUAGACGCCAGGAAGUCGGGAUUAUUGAAUUUCAGUAACCUUACCACCCUGAUAUUGUGCAGUUUGAUGAGAACAACAGUGACAAGCAAGGUCCAAAGCGUGGCAAAGGUCGUGGGCGUUGCGGUAAAGGCCGAGGCCGUGGCUACAAUCAACUGAACAACAAUCAUCAUCACAUUCACAAUGCCAGCAACCAUCACCAGGUUAUCAACAGUUGUGGCAGCCAUCCAGUCGGGAUACCACCGAACACCCAGCUUAUCAUGGUCGAGCAGCUACUACCUGUGGCAAACAAACAGCCUCCUGGCCCACGUAUGCCUGAUGGCACUCGUGGUUUCGCCAUGGGCAGGGGGAAGCCAUCAUCAGCUUCUUGCACUGUCGAGCUUUAAACCCAUUGCUAUGCUCUCAUGUUGAUAUAGAUGGUUUCGAACCUAACCUGUUUCUUGCAUGGAUGUGUGCUUUGGUAUUUUUGGACUCCUCGUUGUGGACCAAUGGUUGAUCUCUUGUACUUGAAAACUGGAGGUGUGCCGGUGUGUGUCAUGCGGUUAUUGUAGUUCUACCUUUUAGGCUUUGUUCGUUUAAUCCCCGCCCCCGCCGGGAUCGGCGGGGUUUUGGCCUAAUCCACGUGCUUUUGACCCCGGUCGGGGUAGGAUCCCGACCUACCUUAUAUGCGUCUUCGGUUAAACCCGGCCGGGUUGAUAUCCCAUCCAAAUCCACCCCAAACCACAGGGAUUCCACUGGGUUUUCACCCAUGUCUCCCCACCCGUGGAAUAAAACCAGUCGUCUCAGUCUUCUCGGCUCGAAAGAAAAAGGAGGAGCGGGCGAGAGCGGCGGCGGCGCCGACGCCGAUAGGGAAGAACUAGGCGACGGCGAGGGGCCGGAGCGGGCGAUCUCUCCAAGUCAGCAGCAGAUCUGCGACCCUCUUCUUCCAUCCCCGGCGCGAGCUCGGCGGCCGCACCAACCUACUCCGGUGGCCCUCCCCAACGUUUCUAUGCCGGUAAGAUCUUCUCCCCCACCCUUGUUUCCUUCCUCUCCCCCCUUUUGAUUUCUAGGGUUUCCCGUCCCCUUUUCCACCGGUGACAAGGGCCGUCUUGCCGGCGAGGCUCCACCUCUCCUCUCUGCUUACUACAGCUUCCCAGUACCCUCCUCUGUACUUGCUCUACCUGUGAUUUGGUGCAAAUGGUGUACCUAGUUGAAUCUAACCAAAUCUGCUACAUAGUCGAAUCUUUUUGUCAAUGUCAUUAGCAGUGCACAUAUAUGCUACUAGUAAUCUAGUAUUUAUUUGUCCCUGAGAUUCAGUACUAUAUUUGCAGCUACCUGUAGAGAAUCAACAAGAUGCAAUUGUAGCUAUAUAGUUUUGUCAAUGAUAUCCUUGGGAGGUGAGAAAAGUUGAGUUUUAUGUAACUGAGGUGAACAUCAACUACAUGAAUUUUUUCUGAUAGUGGGGGUGAAGAGAAAUUUAGGUAAAAUGCUCUGAGAUCAAGGCAUCUUGAAGCCAUGCAACUACGACAGUGCAUUUUACUAAUUUAGAUGCAGAAAGUUUUACUUGUCAGAACAUAUAGAAUAUAUUGAGAUGUGUAGACAUAAAAUGUUUUUGUAAUAAGAGAAAAAAUAUAUUGCCUCCAUUAGAACGAUAACUGUUUCAUACUAUAUGUUGCUUGACCUGACUUGUAUGUGCUACAUUAGAACGAUAACUGUUUCAUACUACUUUAUGUUGCUUGACCUAACUUGUAUGUGCUACAUUAGAACGAUAACUGUUUCAUACUACUUUCGAUGUCUAAAUCUGCAUUUUGCCUCCAUUUUCUGUAGGCCAGCUUCACCGCCUCACAGCUGCAGCAAGACCCCGCUUGGGGCAGCAUCGUGAAGACUAAGGUAUAUUAAUCUUGAUGUACAUACUUGGUUUUCUUUGUACCCUACUGGGACUCGCAUCUUCAUCUAGCUCACAUGAACCUCCCUUGUUCAUCUAGUAACCUGAAGCUGAUGGCUCAAGUAGCCCACAUGAACCUCCCUUGUUCUCUUAUUUCCUUGCAAGAUCAUCUAGAAUAUGCAAGAAUCCCCCUUGUAGCUAUUUUCAUGCAUACUGGUCUUGAACACCCAGAAUAUGUGUAGUGUGUGCAUCCAUUGGUAUCCGCCAGAUUUCAUAACUUUUUAUCUGAAAUUUGAUUUCCCUAGAAUGCACCAUGAUAAAUGCUUAUGAGAUGAGAAUCCAUUCAUGUACAUCAUCUUAUCUUGUCCUUUUUUAUGUACUUAUCUUGUCCUUUCUUUGUCCUGUUUUCCCCUGAUUAUGACUGUAAUGGAAGCUCUUAUUUAUACAGUGCAUAUUGGAACUGAAUUGAUCUAUCUCCGCAUUUCAUUUAAUUUUGCUUUGCCCUCCUUUUGCAAGUAUUAUUUUGUACCAAAGAAAGAAAUCUUUUUUUUUGCGGGGAAAGAAAGAAAUCUUUGUUCAUAAACUUGUGAUUUUGGUACUGUUCUCUGAAAGUAGACCAUAGUUUUUUGUGGUCAUACGAAUUUAGUGUAUUCUUACACGAUUUAUAAUGCUGUAUCAUUGAUAUAUAUGCCUGGUUGUUCAUUUCUAAUAUUAUUAUUCUGUGCUGCUAUUUGCAGCUUUCCAUUGGAAGAUCAUUUGUUUAGUGGAUAUGGAUGCGAUGUUGCUGCCCAUUUGAUCCGUGAAAUUUUGAAAUCAAUGCAUGAUUAUUUUAUGAUCUUUCUUUGGUAGCUGGUCAUCAAUGCUUUGAUAUCAGUCCUUUGAUGUGGACUGACCGCCCUUUUUUGCCAAUGCAGUGCAUCAAUCACUACGGCCCCUAGAGGUUUGGUUCCAGUGGAACCGAACAAAGCCUUAGGGGUUUGCUAUUUCGUUAGCAAGGCGGAAAAAAUGACUGAAAAAGAAGUUGAAGAGUGGAAUUGUAGAUCCUUGUCGAGACUUUCGUGGUAUGUGACUUAAAAUUAGAGACGAAACGUCGAAAGGAGGCGCAAAGUAUCUUCCUGUAUGCUGCAGGGCUGGGCACAUGAGAUCGCCCUAGCCAGCCGCCGCCUACCCAAAAGCUAGGGUUUCUCUCCCUCUUGUUGGUGCUUUUGCCGGCCCGCCCCGUCUCCUGUGGCCUUAGUGUCAUGGGGGUGGAGUGGAUCCUGGCCCUUGCCGGUGGGAGGGUUUUGUUUUUAGAUUUUUUUUCAAGAUUUGUUAGGGUUUGUGUCCUAUUCAAAAAGAUGAGAUGGCGGGGUUUCCCCGCCUAGCCCCGUUUCGAUGAUGCGUCUAGCAUCGUCGGUGCAUGUGGAGGUGUGUCUUUGGUGGAUUUGAUCGGAUCAGUUCGUCGUUCGUCUUUGUCCAUGUGUCUUCAAGUUGGAUCCUUCUUAUCUACAAUCUUCAUCGGCAGCGGUUGUUAUUCUGGUGAUGUAGCGACCAAACCUCAAACGGUCCAAUCUCUGUGCUCAGGUGUCAUCCCUGGAUCAGUAAUGCUGACAUCACACAGUACUUGAAGGAUUUAUAACAGAGUAGCAAUCACACACUAUUACAUCGAGUGUCUUAAAAGAGAACUUAUUACAAUAAAUAUGGCUUAAGGCCAUCUAAUAACGAUAACAUCGGAAGGCUUGGAAGAUAAGUGAGUCCAUCAACUCCAACGGCAUCACUGAGUAUAGAACCACGACCUAAAAAUACCUUAAUCGUCGUCUGAAAAGUCUGUAACAUUAAUGUUGCAGCCCGAAACGGGUCAGCACAUGGAAUAUGCUGGCAAUGUAACACAUAAAGAGCAAUGAAAGAAAUAGGCUAUACUAUAUGCAUAUCUGACUGGUGGAAAGCUCUAUGGUUACAAUUUUGCGUAAAGCUCUAUGGUUACAAGCAUACAAUAAGUACUCAACUAAUGCACAUGUAAAACUCAAAUAAGAGAUCUAACCAGAAAGUUCAACUUAAGAACUCCGGUUGGCAAAAAGAAUCAAAUUGAACGAAGCAACGAAAGUCAAACGGCAAAAGAAACAAGCUUCAUUUACUAUUCUGGAUCUAGGGCAAUUUUUACAGUGGCAAAAACUUGUUUGAGUUGGUUAAACGGAAAGAGGGUUUCGAGACGAAGCUCCAGACGCUUGAAUCGCCUGAUUCCGACAAACGAGCGAAAAAUUAGACUAAAACAAAAAACGGAAGGAAUCGCGAUCAGAAAAAUCGCGGAUUUAAUCCGAGAAAAAGAAAAACGGCGAACAGAUUAAAGAACGAGCGUUCGUUAUCUGGAUCUAAUCGAUGAACGUGUUCGUUAAAACGAACGAACGAGCGAACGCUCGCUAUUUAACUAAACCGAAAAACCGAUCUAACGAAAAAAACAGAUCUAAGUUUUUUUUAAAAAAACGAUCGGCUUUCUACAUGAAAACCGAGGCAACGACGUCUACCUCGACGGCUCCGGCGAACGACGGCGGCGGCGGAGCGGCUCCGGCGAUCGUCGUCGGCGGCGACGGGGCAGCGGGGCGGCGGCGGCGCGGGUGGCUAGGUUUAGGGUUUGGGGCAGCUCGGGCUGGGCUCCCCCGGCUUAUAAAGGCCGGCCGGGCCAGGUGUCAUGAUCGGACGGCCCGGUAGGUCGGUUCGGACUUUUUUUAAAUAAUUACGCUCAGAAAAAACGGAAUACUAAACGAACUUCAAAAAUCCCGAAAUAAAUUUUCCCCGGCUUCUAAAAUCAAGCCGCACAGGAUGAACAUUUAUUUGGGGCCUAAAUGCAAUUUUGAAAAAUGCGCAUUUUUCCCUAAGUCAAAUAAAAUAGCAAAUAAAACCAAAAUAAAAUCUUAUUUGAUUUUUUUAUAAAACCAAAAUAACUCUUCUGCCUGGAUUGAGCUACCUUGAGCCUAUCGCGAAUCAAUUUCACUUUCUGUUCAGACUCCUUUAUCAGAUCCGGUCCAAACAACUGGCGGUCUCCAACUUCAUCCCAAGACAAUGGGGUCCUGCACCUCCUUCCGUACAAGGCUUUGAAAGGGGUCAUGUUCAAACUGGAUUGAUAACUGUUGUUGUAAGAGAACUCUGCAUAUGGAAAAUUCUCGUCCCAACUAGAUCCGUAAUCUAGCGCACAAACUCUUAGCAUAUCCUCCAAAAUCUGAUUGACUCUCUCAGUCUGUCCAUCUGUCUGUGGGUGGAAAGCUGUGCUAAACUCCAGUCUGGUACCCAAAGUUUCAUGCAACUGAUUCUAGAACUUUGAGGUAAUUGGGUUCCUUUAUCUGAUACUAUCCUCCUUGGAACUCCAUGCAGACAUACGAUUAUGGUCAUGUAUACCCUUGCCAACUUUGCACUGCUAUAGGUAGUCUUCACUGGAAUGAAAUGAGCUACCUUUGCCAAACGAUCGACUACAACCCAUAUCGAGUCAUAGCCUGAACGUGUUCUGGGCAAUCCUGUAAUAAAAUCCAUGCCUAGCUUAUCCCACUUCCAUUCGGGUAUCGGCAAUGGCUGUAGCAAUCCGGCUGGCUUCUGAUGCUCUGCCUUUACUCUCGGACAUACAUCACAAACUGCUACAUACUCCGCAAUAUCCUUCUUCAUUCCGGACCACCAGAAAAUAUCCUUUAAAUCCAAAUACAUCUUGGUAUUUCCUGGGUGAAUCGAAUAUGCUGAAUCAUGGGCCUCUUGUAAAAUUAACUUCCUGAUCUCCGAAUCAUUAGGCACAUAAACACGGUCUUCAAACCAUAAGGUAUCGUGCUCAUCCUCACGAAAUCCCUUAGCUUUUCCUUUGCGCAUUUUCUCUUAAUAGAAGCAAUCUCAUUGUCAGUCUUUUGAGCUUCUCUGAUCUUAUCCAUCAAAGUAGACUGAAUCUCCAAUGCUGCUACAUAGCCUCUCGGGACUAUCUCCAAACACAGCUCACAAAGAUUCUCGGCUAACUCUCUUGGUAAUUCUCCCAUCAUUAAGGUGUUGACAUGACUUUUAUGGCUCAACGCGUCAGCUACUACGUUAGCCUUUCCGGGGUGAUAAUGCAAUUUCAUAUCAUAAUCCUUGAUGAGCUCCAACCAUCUCCUUUGUCUGAGGUUCAACUCCUUCUGUGUGAAAAUAUACUUCAGACUCUUGUGAUCCGUGUACACCUCACAUUGGUUUCCAAUGAGAAAAUGUCUCCAAGUCUUCAAUGCAUGCACUACGGCUGCUAACUCCAAAUCAUGCGUAGCAUAAUUCAACUCAUGGGGCUUAAGCUGUCAUGAGGCAUAGGAAACCACUCUUCCUUCCUGCAUAAGCACUGCUCCAAGUCCUCGACGUGAAGCGUCGCAAUACACCUCAUAAUCCUUGGUCUGAUCUGGCAAGAUCAAUACUGGUGAGGUAACCAAACGUUUCUUUAACUCCUGGAAACUAGCCUCACAUUCCUCAGUCCAUAUGAACUUGGUAUCCUUUUUCAACAACUCCGUCAUAGGCUUCGCAAUCUUUGAGAAAUUCUCAAUAAACCUAUCCUGCGAGUCCAAGAAAACUCCGGAUCUCUCCAACUGUUGUUGGGGCUUCCCAAUUGGUCACAGUAUCAACUUUAGUGGGAUCUACUGCUAUACCUUCUCCGGAUAUAACGUGUCCGAGAAAUCCAACUUCCUUCAACCAAAACUCACAUUUGCUAAAUUUGGCAUAUAAUUGAUGUUCUCUGAGCUUUCCAAGUACCAAACGCAAAUGCUCCUUAUGCUCUUCUUCAUUUUUCGAGUAAACCAGGAUAUCAUCAAUGAACACUACGACGAACUUAUCCAAAAAUUCCAUAAACAAUUUGUUCAUCAUGUUCAUAAAAUAUGCAGGUGCGUUAGUCAGACCAAAUGACAUAACGGUAUACUCAUACAACCCAUACCUAGUGGUAAAAGCCGUCUUAGGUAUAUCCUGUUCUCGAAUCUUCAGCUGGUGGUAUCCUGACCGCAGAUCGAUCUUGGAAAACACCUUAGCUCCUUGCAAUCGAUCAAACAGAUCAUUGAUCAUUGGUAGUGGGUAUUUGUUCUUGAUGGUUACUUCAUUCAAUCCUCGAUAAUCAACAACCAUCCUUAACGAUCCAUCCUUCUUCUCCACUAGAAGUACUGGCGAUCCCCAAGGCGAAGAACUUUGGUGAAUAUAUCCUUUAUCCAGUAACUCCUUAAUCUGCUUCUUAAUCUCCACCAAAUCUUUUACGGGCAUCCUAUAUGGUCUCUUUGAUAUUGGCCCUGUGCCUGGCAAAAGCUCAAUCAAAAACUCAAUAUCUCUAUCCGGUGGCAUGCCUGGCAACUCUUCUGAAAAUACAUCAGGGAAAUCCUUCACUACUGGUACUUCCUCCUGCACAACUCCUGUUAAACAAUUUACUUGAGUCCUUUUCGGCACAUGCCGGGAUACAUACUUGAUCCUUCUUCCUUCUGGGGUGACAAGCAAAAUCGACUUACUGGCGCAAUCGAUGUUUCCUCCAUACAUCGACAGCCAAUCCAUACCCAGAAUUACAUCCAAUCCUUGUGAUUCCAAAAUGAUCAAAUCCGAGGGAAACACAUGCCUACCUAUACUCAAUGGCACUUGAAAACAUCCCUUGCUAGCCAUGUACUCCGCUCCUGGUGAGCUUACUAACAUAGGUGUUAUAAGAACUUUGGUGGGCAGGUUAUACUUAUCCACAAAUCCCCUUGAUAUGUAUGAAUGAGAUGCACCAGUAUCAAAAAGAACGAGUGUAGUAAAUGACUUAACCAAAAACUUACCGAUUACUAAAUCCGGCUGCUCUUCAACCUCCUCCACAUUAACGUGGUUCACCUGUCCCCUGUUGAAAGGGUUCGGCUUCUUCCCAGAGCUUCCAUUGCAAUUACCAUUCUGUGAUUCAGGACAUUCAUUGGCAUAAUGUCCGGUCUUCUGGCACUUAAAACAAGUGACUUGGCUCAGGUCUCUCUUGGCUGGGGUCGAUGGGUUGGUGUGGUUCUGGCCGUUGCUUCCUCCAUUCCCAUUACCAUUCUUGGUGCCGUUGUGAUUGUGCGAGAUACCUCCUCCAUGGGUAUGCUGAAAAUGUCCUCCCGGUCUAGGGGUAAAACGGGGCUUCUGCUGAGCUCCUGAAUUGUACUUCCCUUGUCCAUACUUCCUCUUGCGAUUCUCAAUCUGCUGCUGCUUCCCUUCAAUCAUGAGAACACGAUCUACCAACUCCUGGUAAUUGUUGAAGGUUGCUACCAUCAACUGCAUGCUCAAAUCAUCAUUCAGUCCUUCUAGAAACUUCUCCUGCUUAGCUGCAUCCGUAGCAAUGUCAUCUGGGCAUAACGUGCUAGCUUACUAAAGUCGUCCACAUACUGGCCAACUGUCCGUCCUCCUUGGCGCAGGUUGCGAAACUCUCGCUUCUUCAUGGCCAUAGCUCCUGCUGAAACAUGGGCAGUACAAAAAGCCUGCUGAAACUGGUCCCACGUGACAGUGUCGACAGGGAAAGUGGCGGUGAAAUUCUCCCACCAUGAUGCUGCAGAUCCUUCAAGCUGAUGUGCGGCAAACUUCACCUUUUCCGCAUCCGUGCAUCCCGCCGUGGUCAACUCCCUUGCUGUCUUGCGGAGCCAAUCAUCUGCUACUAUCGGCUCGGUGCUACUGGAAAACACCGGCAGAUUCAGCCUAAGAAAACGGGCUAAGUGAUCAACAGGUGGUGGUGGUGGUGGGCUGUUGUUGUUGUUGUUCCCCUGAUUCUGAUUCUGGACUAGCAACUGCAUCAAUGUGUUCUGCUGCUGGAUCAACUGAGUGAGCUCCGGUGGGAAGGUAAAUCCGGGGUCACGUCUCGGAGGCAUCUGAUGGUUUAGGAAAGAUGAGAUUUAAGAAUAGAGAGGGGUCUAGAGAGAAAACACUACCCAUAUGCACAUGAGGCAAAAGCAAACAAUUCACUUCAUUCAAUCAAUCAAACAAGGGCAUAGAAUCGAUCUAACUAUCGCAAAAGUGCUCGGAUUACUAUAUUUACAUGGUGGACUACUACUACCGAUGGGGUGGUCUACUAGAAAUAUUCUUCGGUUGUAGACUCCAUGAUAUCUGCUCCAGCUUCAUCAACAUAGUCAUCAUUGAAGGAAAUAUGCCCUAGAGGCAAUAAUAAUGUUAUUAUUUUAUUUCCUUAUAUCAUGAUAAAUGUUUAUUAUUCAUGCUAGAAUUGUAUUAUCCGGAAGCAUAAUACUUGUGUGCAUACAUAGACAAACCAAACGUCACUAGUAUGCCUCUACUUGACUAGUUCAUUAAUCAAAGAUGGUUAUGUUUCCUAACCAUAGACAUGUGUUGUCAUUUGAUUAACGGGAUCGCAUUAUUAGGAGAAUGAUGUGAUUGAAAUGACCCAUUUCAUUAGCUUAGCACCCGAUCGUUUAGUAUGUCGCUAUUGCUUUCUUCAUGACUUAUACAUGUUCCUAUGACUAUGAGAUUAUGCAACUCCCGUUUGCCGGAGGAAAACUUUGUGUGCUACCAAACGUCACAGCGUAACUGGGUGAUUAAAAAGGAGCUCUACAGGUGUCUCCAAAGGUAAAUGUUGGGUUGGCGUAUUUCGAGAUUAGGAUUUGUCACUCCAGUUGUCGGAGAGGUAUCUCUGGGCCCUCUCGGUAAUGCACAUCACAUAUGCCUUGCAAGCAUUGCAACUAAUGAGUUAGUUGCGAGAUGAUGUAUUACGAAACGAGUAAAGAGACUUGCCGAUAACGAGAUUGAACUAGGUAUUGAGAUACCGACGAUCGAAUCUCGGGCAAGUAACAUACCGAUGACAAAGGGAACAACGUAUGUUGUUAUGCGGUCUGACCGAUAAAGAUCUUCGUAGAAUAUGUAGGGGCCAAUAUGAGCAUCCAGGUUCCGCUAUUGGUUAUUGACCGGAGACGUGUCUCGGUCAUGUCUGCAUUGUUCUCGAACCCGUAGGGUACGCACGCUUAAGGUUUCGAUGACAAUUAUAUUAUGAGUUUAUGAGUUUUGAUGUACCGAAGUCAGUUUGGAGUCCCGGAUGUGAUCACAGACAUAACGAGGAGUCUCGAAAUGGUCGAGACAUAAAGAUUGAUAUAUUGGACGGCUAUAUUCGGACACCGGAAGUGUUCCGGGUGAUUUCGGAGAAAACCAGAGAGUCGGAGGGUUACCGGAACCCUACCGGGAGAAGUAAUGGGCCAUAUGGGCCUUAGUGGAGAGAGAGAAGGGCAGCCAGGGUGGGCCGCACGCCUCCUCCCCUGUGUCCGAAUUGGACUAGGAGAGGGGGGCAACGCCCCCCUUUCCUUCUCCCUCCCCACUUCCUUCCCCCUCCUAGUAGGAGUCCUACUCCUACUAGGAGGAGGACUCCUCCUGGCGCGCCAAUAGGGGCCGGUCGGCCUCCCCCCUUGAUCCUUUAUAUACGGGGGCAGGGGGCACCCCUAGACACACAAGUUGAUCCACGUGAUCAUAUUCUUAGCCGUGUGUGGUGCCCCCUUCCACCAAAAUCCUCGAUAAUAUUGUAGCGGUGCUUAGGCGAAGCCCUGCGACGGUAGUACAUCAAGAUCGUCACCACGCCGUCGUGCUGACGGAACUCUUCCCCGACACUUUUCUGGAUCAGAGUCCGGGGAUCGUCAUCGAGCUGAACGUGUGCUAAAACUCGGAGGUGCCGUAGUUUCGGUGCUUGAUCGGUCGGGCCGUGAAGACGUACGACUACAUCAACCGCGUUGUGCUAACGCUUCCGCUGUCAGUCUACAAGGGUACAUAGAUCACACUCUCCCCUCUCGUUGCUAUGCAUCACCAUGAUCUUGCGUGUGCGUAGGAAAAUUUUGAAAUUACUACGUUCCCCAACAGUGACAUCCGAGCCUAGGUUUUAUGUGUUGAUGUUAUAUGCACGAGUAGAACACAAGUGAGUUGUGGGAGAUAUAAGUCAUAUUGCUUACCAGCAUGUCAUACUUUGGUUUGGCGGUAUUGUUGGACGAAGCGGCCCGGACCGACAUUACGCGUACGCUUACGUGAGACCGGUUCUCCCGACGUGCUUUGCACAAAGGUGGCUAGCGGGUGACAGUUUCUCCAACUUUAGUUGAACCGAGUGCGGCUACGCUCGGUCCUUGCGAAGGUUAAAACAACACCAACUUGACAAACUAUUGUUGUGGUUUUGAUGCGUAGGUAAGAUUGGUUCUUGCUUAAGCCCGUAGCAGCCACGUAAAACUUGCAACAACAAAGUAGAGGACGUCUAACUUGUUUUUGCAGGGCAUGUUGUGAUGUGAUAUGGUCAAGACAUGAUGCUAAAUUUUAUUGUAUGAGAUGAUCAUGUUUUGUAACCAAGUUAUCGGCAACUGGCAGGAGCCAUAUGGUUGUCGCUUUAUUCUAUGCAAUGCAAUUGCGCUGUAAUGCUUUACUUUAUCACUAAGCGGUAGCGAUAGUCGUGGAAGCAUAAGAUUGACGAGACGACAACGAUGCUACGAUGGUGAUGAAGGUGUCGCGCCGGUGACGAUGGUGAUCACGACGGUGCUUCGAAGAUGGAGAUCACAAGCACAAGAUGAUAAUGGCCAUAUCAUAUCACUUAUAUUGAUUGCAUGUGAUGUUUAUCUUUUAUGCAUCUUAUCUUGCUUUGAUUGACGGUAGCAUUUUAAGAUGAUCUCUCACUAAUUAUCAAGAAGUGUUCUCCCUGAGUAUGCACCAUUGCGAAAGUUCUUCGUGCUGAGACACCACAUGAUGAUCGGGUGUGAUAGUCUCUAUGUUCAAAUACAACGGGUGCAAAACAGUUGCACACGCAGAAUACUCAGGUUAUACUUGACGAGCCAAGCAUAUAUAGAUGUGGCCUCGGAACACGGAGACCGAAAGGUCGAGCGUGAAUCAUAUAGUAGACAUGAUCAACAUAGCGAUGUUCACCAAUGAAACUACUCCAUCUCAUGUGAUGAUCGGACAUGGUUUAGUUGAUUUGGAUCAUGUAAUCACUUAGAGGAUUAGAGGGAUGUCUAUCUAAGUGGGAGUUCUUUAGUAAUAUGAUUAAUUGAACCUAAAUUUAUCAUGAACUUAGUACCUGAUAGUAUCUUGCUUGUUUAUGUUUGAUUGUAGAUAGAUGGCCCGUGCUGUUGUUCCGUUGAAUUUUAACGCGUUCCUUGAGAAAGCAAAGUUGAAAGAUGAUGGUAGCAAUUACACGGACUGGGUCCGUAACUUGAGGAUUAUCCUCAUUGCUGCACAGAAGAAUUACGUCCUGGAAGCACCGCUGGGUGCCAGGCCUGCUGCUGGAGCAACACCAGAUGUUAUGAAUGUCUGGCAGAGCAAAGCUGAUGACUACUCGAUAGUUCAGUGUGCCAUGCUUAACGGCUUAGAAUCGGGACUUCAACGACGUUUUGAACGUCAUGGAGCAUAUGAGAUGUUCCAGGAGUUGAAGUUAAUAUUUGAAGCAAAUGCCCGGAUUGAGAGAUAUGAAGUCUCCAAUAAGUUCUAUAGCUGCAAGAUGGAGAAGAACAGUUCUGUCAGUGAGCAUAUACUCAAAAUGUCUGGGGUAUAAUAAUCACUUGAUUCAAUUGGGAGUUAAUCCUCCAGAUGAUUGCGUCAUUGACAGAAUUCUCCAAUCACUGCCACCAAGCUACAAGAGCUUCAUGAUGAACUAUAAUAUGCAAGGGAUGAAUAAGACUAUUCCCGAGCUCUUCGCAAUGCUGAAAGCUGCGGAGGUAGAAAUCAAGAAGGAGCAUCAAGUGUUGAUGGUCAAUAAGACCACUAGUUUCAAGAAAAAGGGCAAAGGGAAGAAGAAGGGGAACUUCAAAAAGAACAGCAAGCAAGUUGCUACUCAAAAGAAGAAACCCAAACCUGGACCUAAGCCUGAAACUGAGUGCUUCUACUGCAAGCAGACUGGUCACUGGAAGCGGAACUGCCCCAAGUAUUUGGCGGAUAAGAAGGAUGGCAAGGUAAACAAAGGUAUAUGUGAUAUACAUGUUAUUGAUGUGUACCUUACUAAUGCUCGCAGUAGCACCUGGGUAUUUGAUACUGGUUCUGUUGCUAACAUUUGCAACUCGAAACAGGGACUACGGAUUAAGCGAAGAUUGGCUAAGGACGAGGUGACGAUGCGCGUGGGAAAUGGUUCCAAAGUCGAUGUGAUCACGGUCGGCACGCUACCUCUACAUCUACCUUCGGGAUUAGUAUUAGACCUAAAUAAUUGUUAUUUGGUGCCAGCGUUAAGCAUGAACAUUAUAUCUGGAUCUUGUUUGAUGCGAGACGGUUAUUCAUUUAAAUCAGAGAAUAAUGGUUGUUCUAUUUAUAUGAGUAAUAUCUUUUAUGGUCAUGCACCCUUAAAGAGUGGUCUAUUCUUAUUAAAUCUCGAUAGUAGUGACACACAUAUUCAUAAUGUUGAAGCCAAAAGAUGCAGAGUUGAUAAUGAUAGUGCAACUUAUUUGUGGCACUGCCGUUUGGGUCAUAUCGGUGUAAAGCGCAUGAAGAAACUCCAUACUGAUGGGCUUUUGGAACCACUUGAUUAUGUAUCACUUGGUACUUGCGAACCGUGCCUUAUGGGUAAGAUGACAAAAACACCGUUCUCCAGUACUAUGGAGAGAGCAACAGAUUUGUUGGAAAUCAUACAUACAGAUGUAUGUGGUCCGAUGAAUGUUGAGGCUCGUGGCGGAUAUCGUUAUUUUCUCACCUUCACAGAUGACUUAAGCAGAUAUGGGUAUAUCUACUUAAUGAAACAUAAGUCUGAAACAUUUGAAAAGUUCAAAGAAUUUCAGAGUGAAGUUGAAAAUCAUCGUAACAAGAAAAUAAAAUUCCCGCGAUCUGAUCGUGGAGGAGAAUAUUUGAGUUACGAGUUUGGUGUACAUUUGAAACAAUGCGGAAUAGUUUCGCAACUCACGCCACCCGGAACACCACAGCGUAAUGGUGUGUCCGAACAUCGUAAUCGUACUUUACUAGAUAUGGUGCGAUCUAUGAUGUCUCUUACUGAUUUACCGCUAUCGUUUUGGGGUUAUGCUCUAGAGACGGCCGCAUUCACGUUAAAUAGGGCACCAUCAAAAUCCGUUGAGACGACACCUUAUGAACUAUGGUUUGGCAAGAAACCAAAGUUGUCGUUUCUGAAAGUUUGGGGUUGCGAUGCUUAUGUGAAAAAGCUUCAACCUAAUAAGCUCGAACCCAAAUCGGAGAAAUGUGUCUUCAUAGGAUAUCCAAAGGAAACUAUUGGAUACACCUUCUAUCACAGAUCCGAAGGCAAAACUUUUGUUGCUAAAUUCGGAAACUUUCUAGAGAAGGAGUUUCUCUCAAAAGAAGUGAGUGGGAGGAAAGUAGAACUUGAUGAGGUAACUGUACCUGCUCCCUUAUUGGAAAGUAGUACAUCACAGAAACCAGUUUCUGUGACACCUACACCAAUUAGUGAGGAAGCUAAUGCUGAUGAUCAUGAAGCUUCAGAACAAGAUACUACGGAACCUCGUAGAUCAACCAGAGUAAGAUCCGCACUAGAGUGGUAUGGUAAUCCUGUUCUGGAAGUCAUGCUACUAGAUCAUGAUGAACCUACGAACUAUGGAGAAGCGAUGGUGAGCCCAGAUUCCGCAAAAUGGCUUGAAGCCAUGAAAUCUAAGAUGGGAUCCAUGUAUGAGAACAAAGUAUAGACUUUGGUUGACUUGCCCAAUGAUCGGCAAGCAAUUGAGAAUAAAUGGAUAUUUAAGAAGAAGACUUACGCUGACGGUAAUGUUACUGUCUACAAAGCUCGACUUGUCGCAAAAGGUUUUUGACAAGUUCAAGGGAUUGACUACGAUGAGACCUUCUCACCCGUAGCGAUGCUUAAGUCUGUCCGAAUCAUGUUAGCAAUUGCCACAUUUUAUGAUUAUGAAAUUUGGCAGAUGGAUGUUAAAACUGCAUUCCUGAAUGGAUUUCUGCAAGAAGAGUUGUAUAUGAUGCAGCCGGAAGGUUUUGUCGAUCCAAAGGGAGCUAACAAAGUGUGCAAGCUCCAGCAAUCCAUUUAUGGACUGGUGCAAGCCUCUCGGGGUUGGAAUAAACGCUUUGAUAGUGUGAUCAAAGCAUUUGGUUUUGUACAAACUUUUAGAGAAGCCUGUAUUUACAAGAAAGUGAGUGGGAGCUCUGUAGCAUUUCUGAUAUUAUAUGUAGAUGACAUAUUACUAAUCGGAAAUGAUAUAGAAUUUCUGGAUAGCAUAAAGGGAUACUUGAAUAAGAGUUUUUCAAUGAAAGACCUCGGUGAAGCUGCUUACAUAUUGGGCAUUAAUAUCUAGAGACAGAUCAAGACGCUUAAUUGGACUUUCACAAAGCACAUACCUUGACAAAGUUUUGAAAAAGUUCAAAAUGGAUCAAGCAAAGAAAUGAUUCUUGCCUGUGUUAUAAGGUGUGAAAUUGAGUAAGACUCAAUGCCCGACCAAUGCAGAAGAUAGAGAGAAAAUGAAAGAUGUUCCCUAUGCUUCAACCAUAGGCUCUAUCAUGUAUGCAAUGCUGUGUACCAGACCUGAUGUGUGUCUUGCUAUAAGUCUAGCAGGGAGGUACCAAAGUAAUCCAGGAGUGGAUCACCGGACAGCGGUCAAGAACAUCCUGAAAUACCUGAAAAUGACUAAGGAUAUGUUUCUCAUAUAUGGAGGUGACAAAGAGCUCAUCAUAAAUGGUUACAUUGAUGCAAGCUUUGACACUGAUCCGGACAAUUCUAAAUCGCAAACCGGAUACGUGUUUACAUUAAACGGUGGAGCUGUCAGUUGGUGCAGUUCUAAACAAAGCAUUGUGGCGGGAUCUACAUGUGAAGCGGAAUACAUAGCUGCUUCGGAAGCAGCAAACGAAGGAGUCUGGAUGAAGGAGUUCAUAUCCGAUCUAGGUGUCAUACCUAGUGCAUCGGGUCCAAUGAAAAUCUUUUGUGACAAUACUGGUGCAAUUACCUUGGCAAAGGAAUCCAGAUUUCACAAGAGAACCAAGCACAUCAAGAGACACUUCAAUUCCAUCCGGGAUCUAGUCCAGGUGGGAGACAUAGAGAUUUGCAAGAUACAUACGGAUCUGAAUAUAGCAGAGCCGUUGACUAAACCUCUUCCACGAGCAAAACAUGAUCAGCACCAAAGCUCCAUGGGUGUUAGAAUCAUUACUGUGUAAUCUAGAUUAUUGACUCUAGUGCAAGUGGGAGACUGAAGGAAAUAUGCCCUAGAGGCAAUAAUAAUGUUAUUAUUUUAUUUCCUUAUAUCAUGAUAAAUGUUUAUUAUUCAUGCUAGAAUUGUAUUAUCCGAAAGCAUAAUACUUGUGUGAAUACAUAGACAAACCAAACGUCACUAGUAUGCCUCUACUUGACUAGCUCAUUAAUCAAAGAUGGUUAUGUUUUCUAACCAUAGACAUGUGUUGUCAUUUGAUUAACGGGAUCACAUUAUUAGGAGAAUGAUGUGAUUGACAUGACCCAUUUCAUUAGCUUAGCACCCGAUCGUUUAGUAUGUCGCUAUUGCUUUCUUCAUGACUUAUACAUGUUCCUAUGACUAUGAGAUUAUGCAACUCCCGUUUGCCGGAGGAACACUUUGUGUGCUACCAAACGUCACAACGUAACUAGGUGAUUAUAAAGGAACUCUACAGGUGUCUCCAAAGGUAAAUGUUGGGUCGGCGUAUUUCGAGAUUAGGAUUUGUCACUCCGAUUGUCGGAGAGGUAUCUCUGGGCCCUCUCGGUAAUGCACAUCACAUAAGCCUUGCAAGCAUUGCAACUAAUGAGUUAGUUGCGAGAUGAUGUAUUACGAAAUGAGUAAAGAGACUUGUCGGUAACGAGAUUGAACUAGGUAUUGAGAUACCGACGAUCGAAUCUUGGGCAAGUAACAUACCGAUGACAAAUGGAACAACGUAUGUUGUUAUGCGGUCUGACCGAUAAAGAUCUUCGUAGAAUAUGUAGGGGCCAAUAUGAGCAUCCAGGUUCCGCUAUUGGUUAUUGACCGGAGACGUGUCUCGAUCAUGUCUGCAUUGUUCUCGAACCCGUAGGGUCCGCACGCUUAAGGUUUCGAUGACAAUUAUAUUAUGAGUUUAUGAGUUUUAAUGUACCGAAGUCAGUUCGGAGUCCCGGAUGUGAUCACGGACAUAACAAGGAGUCUCGAAAUGGUCGAGACAUAAAGAUUGAUAUAUUGGACGGCUAUAUUCGGACACCGGAAGUGUUCCGGGUGAUUUCGGAGAAAACCAGAGAGCCGGAGGGUUACCGGAACCCUACCGGGAGAAGUAAUGGGCCAUAUGGGCCUUAGUGGAGAGAGAGAAGGGCAGCCAGGGUGGGCCGCGCGCCUCCUUCCCCUGGGCCCGAAUUGGACUAGGAGAGGGGGGGGGGGGCGGCGCCCCCCUUUCCUUCUCCCUCCCCACUUCCUUCCCCCUCCUAGUAGGAGUCCUACUCCUACUAGGAAGAGGACUCCUCCUGGCGCGCCAAUAGGGGCCGGCCGGCCUCCUCUCAUUGCUCCUUUAUAUACGGGGGCAGGGGGCAGCCCUAGACACACAAGUUGAUCCACGUGAUCAUAUUCUUAGCCGUGUGCGGUGCCCCCUUCCACCAUAAUCCUCGAUAAUAUUGUAGCGGUGCUUAGGCGAAGCCCUGCGACGGUAGUACAUCAAGAUCGUCACCAUGCCGUCGUGCUGACGGAACUCUUCCCCGACACUUUGCUGGACCGGAGUCUGGGGAUCGUCAUCGAGCUGAACGUAUGCUAAAACUCGGAGGUGCCGUAGUUUCGGUGCUUGAUCGGUCGGGCCGUGAAGACGUACGACUACAUCAACCGCGUUGUGCUAACACUUCCGCUGUCGGUCUACAAGGGUACAUAGAUCACACUCUCCCCUCUCGUUGCUAUGCAUCACCAUGAUCUUGCGUGUGCGUAGGAAAAUUUUGAAAUUACUACGUUCCCCAACAAUCAUCGCUAUCGUCUGGAUCCGAGUCGGUGUCGUCGAUGAUGAUGUAGUCUUUCGGGCGAACCUCCUUGGGUUCUUCGUCCUCUUCUACUGGUGUAGGGCCUCCCAUGAAUAUUCCAAUCUUCAUUGUUAAGUCGGCAUUCUUGUCCACUAGUACUUCGAUUUCCUCUUCAUAAUCUUCACGCGUAGCCUUGAGUUCUUCCUCCAGUUCCUUGAUUCUUGUCCUUGCCUUCUUCAGAUCUAUCAUGUCGGCGCACAUUUGGUUCUCCUGACAUCGAAUGUGCUGGUUUAACUCCUGGAUAAAAGCUGCAAUUGAUCUAUCCUUCCUGGUGCUGAUCAUCUCCAAGUGCUCAUCUCAGCGCCCACAAAUCUGGUAGGUAGUAUCCUUGAGAUCAUUGCGGUAAACUUCUCCAAUGCGUCCCAUGGCGAUGUGAGCUGCCAUGCUCUUUCCUAGAUUCCAAGUUGGUGCAUCAAAUUCUCGGUUUCACUUGUUUCAUAUUUUAUUUUCCGGAGUUCCAAGUGUCCACUUUAUCUCGUCACAAAGCUUCAUCUAAUCAUUGCAAGGCUUCAACCUUACUCUUUUCAUCUUUCCUUUCAUUUGAUCAUUCUUUUGUUAACGGAGUUCUUCACGGAGGCUCUACAUGAUGGUUCAUCAAGGAUUUAAUUCCUUUUCGAAGCAUUCAUUGAGAUUCUUUUCAGAGGAGCUCAAGAAUUCUUCAUCUUGCAUUCCGGAGUGCAAUUCUCUCUUCCAUAUCAUUAGAGGUGGUAUUAUGUCAUUGUUGAUAAUUUGAGUUCGUGUUUCAUGUUGUUAAGAAUGAGAUAUAUUAAAUCCAUCAAUCUCGUCAUUGGAGUUAUCUUGGGUUAUAUUUCACCUAAAACCUUCCCUAAGGAUUGUUGCUAUUUAUGGUGCUCAUAUAUGAUCCAAGUUCUUCAUCUAUCCUCCCGGUCAAAUAAGUUUCUCGUCUCCGUGUUGAUAUCAAUCCAAUCUAUUGUUUUCCGUUAAUGCCAGAAUUUCACCUCAUAGUUUUGAGAUGUUUUCCAUAAGUCCACUACAACCUUGUUCUUUUCGUUGUUGUUUUUCCAACAAUUCCGUUCGAACCUUCUCCUAAGGAUGCUUUUGCAAGCUCAUUUAAGGUAGAAUAUGUUGUUUUCUCCUCUGUUCAUUCCAUUGCAUUUCUCUCUUCUAUUCCGGAGGCAUUGUGUUGUUGCUCUCUUCAAACUUUCUUCUUGUUCUUGUCAGGACCUUGUUCUUUUCAUGCGUAUCCUUUUAACCGGAGUGUUGUGCCCUCUGCUCUAGUACUUUUCAUCUUAUCAAGUUUCAUAUCACUGUUCAAACGGAGUGCUGUUCGAAUUUGUUCUUCCUUGUUCCUCGUUUCUAACAGAGUGUUUUUCAACUUUGAUCACCUCCAUGGUAUUAUUCCUUCCAAGUGGUUUAACAUCUCAAGGUUCUUUGGUUUCACUCAUUGGUCAAAGAAGCAACUUAGUUUUACCUCUUCUCUUUCUCUUCCGUUUUUCCCUCCGGUGCCAUUCUAGAUCUCGGGACAAAAUCCUCUCGUAGUGGUGGAGUGUUGUAACGCCACGAGCCCGUUGUGCUAGGUGUCUUCCAGUUAUUCGCUGUUGUUGCCAUGUCAUUGCUUGCGUGUCAUGCUUUGCAUAUCAUGUCAUCAUGUGCUUUUCAUUUGCAUACAUGUUCGUCUCAUGCAUCCAAGCAUUUUCCCGUUGUCCGUUUUGCCAUCCGGCGCUCCUAUGUCACCCGGUAUCCCUUUCUACCUCCUUUUGUGUGUGGGUGUUAAACAUUCUCAGAUUGGGCCGAGACUUGUCAUGCAGCCUUGGUUUACUACCGGUAGACCGCCUGUCAAGUUUCGUGCCAUUUGAACUUCGUUUGAUACUCCAACGGUUAACCGAGAGACCGAAAAGGCCUCAUGUGUGUUGCAGCCCAACACCCUUCCAAAAUGGCCCAAAAUCCACCUAAAUCCUCUCCAUCACCUAGGCUGUUCGAUCGCGACCGCGUGGCCGAAAACUGUGCUCAAUUUGGAGCCUCCUAGCUCCCUCUACCUAUAUAUAUGUGGCUCUCCCCGAAUUUUCGCGUAGUCCAAACCCUAGCAAACUCCUCCCCGGGCCGCCGGACAAUUCCUACCACGCCGGCCGGACAUGUCCACCGCGCCCUCCACCUCACUCCGGCCAAUGAGGGCCUGCCACAUCACCCGCUGCCGCCUCCCGCGCCAAUCGCGACACGCCACCUCAGCAGCGCUUCCCUCCACCCGCCGAAGCCUGCCGGGGCCCGGGCGAAGCCCUCUCGGCCCAUCUCGCCGCCGCCGCGCUUCGCGGGCGCCCCGCCCNNNNNNNNNNNNNNNNNNNNNNNNNNNNNNNNNNNNNNNNNNNNNNNNNNNNNNNNNNNNNNNNNNNNNNNNNNNNNNNNNNNNNNNNNNNNNNNNNNNNNNNNNNNNNNNNNNNNNNNNNNNNNNNNNNNNNNNNNNNNNNNNNNNNNNNNNNNNNNNNNNNNNNNNNNNNNNNNNNNNNNNNNNNNNNNNNNNNNNNNNNNNNNNNNNNNNNNNNNNNNNNNNNNNNNNNNNNNNNNNNNNNNNNNNNNNNNNNNNNNNNNNNNNNNNNNNNNNNNNNNNNNNNNNNNNNNNNNNNGACCUGCUCGCCGUGCCGCCGCGCCAUUCCACCUACCCUCGUCGCCGGCCUCCUCCUGCCGCCCCGCGCCGCCACGGCUCGUCGCCGGCCCCGCGCGCCACCCCACGCUCUUCUCCUGCCGCUGCCAUCGCCGGAGUCACCGCUCUCCUCGCCGGAGCCCCGCACCGGCCGAAUCCAUCGCGGGUGGAUGAGAUCCACCCGCUCAUCCAUCCAAACGGCGCCGCGUCCGCGCAUGGACCGCUCCGUCCCGUUCGCCUCCGCCCCGUUGACUUUCCCAGAGAGGUCGAAAUAUCUCUAAGUCCCCAGAUCCCAGUAUUUUUCAUGCCACUUUCAUCGCAUCAUAGCUUCAUCACCGUUGCUCCGAUUCGUGUGUGUAGCAUAUCAAAAUGUUCGUCUCGAUGAGUACUUCAUUUCAUCUCAUUGCAUCAUUUUCAUUUGAGCUCAUCUUGAUGCCCGAAAUGCUGUUGGAAGAGGGCUAUGUGAUGUUAGUUUCAGAUCCGUAUCAGCAUUGGCUCAUUUGUCAUUUUUGCCCUGAUUAAUGUGUGCAUGCUAUGAUCUUGAGCCCUACAUGAGUUUUGAAGUAUGCCAUGCCAUCUUUACAUGAGUGUAUGCCAUGUAUUUUUGUGAUCUUUGUGGUGACUAGCACAAGCAUGCAAAGUAGCUUACUUAAUGUUGCUGAUUUCAGGGACUUAGAAUAUUUUCUAAGUCCUUGUCCUGUUUAUAUUAGUAUGCCAUAUGUUCAUGUUGCUACCGAGUGAUCCGUGCCUCUUUUGAGCAUGAUCAGUAAGGAUGUUUUGUAGAGUUUGUUGUGAUCUAUCCAUCCAUGUAUUUGUUUUCAAUUAUGGAGCACCCUAGCUUGAGUCAAUCGAGCUCUACUUUUUCUAUAAAAUGUUCCUGGCAGAUUGUUAACAUGUUUAGCGAUUUUGCCGAGCUUGUUGUAGUUGAUCCGUGCAUGCUAUGUUGUUGUUCUUACCAUGUCUAGCUUCUAUGCCAUGUCUACUUGCUGGGUGCAUUCUUAGUUUGUCAUGCAAUACCUUGUGGUGAGUGCAUCGAGCUCGUAAACAUGCCUACUUGAUGUCUGUUUUGCCAUGCUCCAGUUUUUCAGUAAGUCUGAAUCUGUUUAUGUAAUUGCUAUGUUCACAUGGUUGCCAUUAUAUUUUCUGAUCCCUUUUGGCUUAUGGUCAGUAAGGGACUUUUGUUGCAUGCUUUGAGUAGCUUCAUGCCAUGCUUUGCUUUGCCAUGAUAUGUUCCUGUAGCAUGUAGUUAUCUUGCUCUAAACAUUGCUUCCUGAUGUUAAAUUCCUGACUUGUUAUUUUCACCAAGUCUGUAACCUGUUAUCUUUUGCACUUUUGCCAUGCUUGUUUAAACAUGCUAUUGUGUGAAUUAGCCGUAGCUCAGUGUUCAUCUUUUGUUAAGCAUCAUGAGUGGAUCGCUGCCAUGUAUUUUGUUGCUAUGUUUGAGUGCAUUAGCUUAAUUAUCUUGAUGCAUUUAGAUGGCUUCAUGCUGUUAAUCGCAGACCGGUGCCAUAUUUGUUUUGCUUGCCAUUUCCAAACCGUGCAUCCGAUUCCGGUGAUCCUUAUAUCGAUUUCGACCGAAAUCAACUCCUCUUUCCAGUGGCACUCUUGGAUUUCCAUGUUGAGGCCAGGUUCAAUCAUUCCUUUCCCAAUCAUGCAUAUGCACCGCAUCCCGCAUCCCGCAUGUCAUGUCAUGUUUUGCAUCAUGUUGUUUGUGCAUUGCACGUGGUUGAUUGUCUCUUCCUUUGCUUGUGUUCUUGAUUUGGGUAGAGCCGGGAGACGAGUUCGUGUUCGAGGACCCGUUGAGUACGUUUACGAGGAUCAAGCUUUCGUCUUCUCGGAGAACUUUGCAGGCAGGAUGACCAUACCCUCGAAAUCACUUCUAUCUUUGCUUGCUAGAUGCUCGCUCUUUUGCAACGCCUAUGCUGUGAUACCUACCACUUGCUUAUCAUGCCUCCCAUAUUGCUAAGCCAAGCCUCUAACCCACCUUGUCCUAGCAAACCGUUGUUUGGCUAUGUUACCGCUUUGCUCAGCCCCUCUUAUAGCGUUGCUAGUUGCAGGUGAAGAUGGCGUUUGUUCCUUGUUGGAACAUGGAUAUUUUGUUGGGAUAUCACAAUAUCUCUUAUUUAAUUAAUGCAUCUAUAUUAUAUUGGGUAAAGGGUGGAAGGCUCGGCCUUAUGCCUGGUGUCUUGUUCCACUCUUGCUGCCCUAGUUUCCGUCAUAUCGGUAUUAUCUUCCCGGAUUUUUGCAUUCCUUACACGGUUGGGUUAUAAUGGGAACCCCUUGACAGUUCGCUUUGAAUAAAACUCCUCCAGCAAGGCCCAACCUUGGUUUUACCAUUUGCCUCACCACCACCUAGUUUUCCCUUGGGAGUCACGCUCCCAAGGGUCAUCUUAUUUUAACCCCCCCAGGCCAGUGCUCCUCUGAGUGUUGGUUCGAAUCGACUAGACCGCGGGGCCACCUCGAGGCAACUUGAGGGUUGGUUUUACUCGUAGGAUGUAUCAUCUAAGUGUGCCCUGAGAACGAGAUAUGUGCAGCUCCUAUCGGGAUUUGUCGGCACAUUCGGGCGGCUUUGCUGGUUUAGUUUUACCAUUGUCGAGAUGUCUUGUAACCGGGAUUCCGAGUCUGAUCGGAUUGUCUUGGGAGAAGGAAUAUCCUUCAUUGACCAUGAGAGCUUGUGAUGGGCUAAGUUGGGACACCCUUGCAGGGUUAUGAACUUUCGAAAGUCAUGCCCGGGGUUAUGGGAAGAUGUGAAUUUGUUAAUGUCCGGUUGUAGAAAACCUGAACCUUAUCUUAAUUAAAAUGCACCAACCGCGUAUGUAGCCGUGAUGGUCUCUUUUCGGCGGAGUCCGGGAAGUGAACACGGUGUUGGAGUUAUGCUUGAUGUAGGUUUCUCUAGGAUCACUUCUUGAUCAUAGAUUCUCGUUCGUGCUUUGCCUUCUCUUCUCGCUCUCAUUUGCGUAUGUUAGCCACUAUAUAUGCUAGUCGCUUGCUGCAGCUCCACCUCAUACCUUUUACCCUACCUAUAAGCUUAAAUAGUCUUGAUCGCGAGGGUGUGAGAUUGCUGAGUCCCAGUGACUCACAGAUACUUCCAAAACCAGUUUGCAGGUGCCAAUGAAACCGUUCAGGUGACGCAACCAAGCUCAAGGAGGAGCUCGAUGGAGAUCGUGUUCUUUGUGUUGUUCCAUUUCCAGUUGUUCAGUAGUGGAGCCCAGUCGGGGCGAUCGGGGACUUUGUCGCAUUUGGGGUUUAUCUUUAUUUUGGUUCUGUAGUCGGACCUUGAGUGUAUUUGGAUGAAUGUAAUGUUUUAUUCAUGUAAUUGUGUGAAGUGGCGAUUGUAAGCCAACUAUGUAUCUUUUUCCCUUAUGUAUUACAUGGGUUGUGUGAAGAUUACCUCACUUGCGACCUUGCUUUCAAUGCGCUUAUGCCUCUAAGUCGUGCUUCGACACGUGGGAGAUAUAGCCGCAUCGAGGGUGUUACAUAGGGCCUUCAUGAAGAUCUGCAUGCUGCCAUGCAGGUGCUUGCUGAUUCGGCCUGGAAGCUGCAUGUUGCCACGCAGGUGCCUGCCUAGCUGGUUGGGCUGGCAGCUGCAUGUGAACGGCGGUGGAGUCUUGGCUGGUGCGGGCCUGGCUGGCACGGAUGAACGUUCGCUACUUAACCGAAAAAAUAAAAACCGAUCUAUCCUAACCAAAUUGAAACUAAAAAAACUGAGAAGUAACCGGCGAACUGGUACGGUUUUUACCGGUUAAACGGGGUUCGGCCGGCGGCGGUCAACGACGAGCGGGGCAACAGCUCCGGCGAGAUGGGGUGGGGCGGCACGGGGCUGCGCGGGUGGCGACGACGAGCUUCGAGGCAGGGCGACGCGGCGACUAAAGGCGGCGGCGUGGCUGACUCGGGGUCCAAGGGGGCCCGGGGUCGCUAUAUAUGGGGGAGGGGGCGAACCUCGGGGGAGUAACGAGCUCCCAUGGCUCCGGCGACGGAGUCCUGCCGGACUCGGGCAAGGAAGGCGGUGGCGCCGUGGGCUGGGCUGGCUCGGCUCGGCCGGCCCAGUUCGGGAGUUUCUUUUUAAAUAAUUUUGCCGAAAAAGAAAAAUCGAAAAUAAAAUAAAUAAAAAUCUAAAAUCCCAAAAAUAAUUUUCACGGUCCUCUACUAAUAUUUAGGACAACAUGAACAUUUUUCUAGGCUAAAAUACAAUUUUUAAAAUGCAUUUUUUUUCCUAAUUUACCCGAAUAAAAUCUCAAAUAAGAUCAAAUAAAAUACAUAUUUUUAUUUAAAAUUAAAUUUCCAUUAUUUCCUCUGUUUUGAAGAAGUCAUAUUAUCUUCUCUCAUUGUUUUAUUCAUUUCAAAAUAAUUGGAAAAAUAAUUUCAAAUAAAAAUCACUUUGACCUAACUUACCAAAUUUGAAAAUUCAAAAAUGGAAUUUUAUGAAAACCUCAAACUCUCUCAAAUGGUCCUUGAGUUGCUUAAGGUCUCUAGGAUCAAAAUAUCCAAAUAAAACAAAUUCAAAAAAUGCAAGAAUCAUGCAUGCAUAUGAUGACCUAAUUGAUUAACAUCCAAUUGAAAAUUGGGAUGUUACAAACCUACUGAUGUGGAGCAUCCUACGGACAUCACUAUGUCAAGAGUCCAUUCGGCAAGUGACACGUGCGACAUCUACUUCACAUACACAAAGGUGAAUCAUCUCCUUUAGACGUGCUCACUUGACCCCUUUGAGGAUGGUAUAUUACGUGUCACUCCACUCGUGUGCAUGCAUAGGUAUUGUCGGAAUGGUACGAGCGACGAGGAGGAGUGCGAGCGCAAGUGUACAACUACACCAUCCGCGAGGGAAGCCUGGAAGAGAAGACGAAAGAAGGAGCUGCAAAGUCUACAGCGACCGGACGACUGAAAGCCGCCGGACGUCCGACCCUCUACAGCCGCCGGACGACCGACGGAUACCAGACGUCCGACAAGUCCCAGGCACCGGACGUCCGACGCUCAUCGGAAAUCCGGUGCCACCCAUCCCGAAGCAAAACGACGGACGUCGGACGCCCUCCGGAGGACCGGACCCCCGCGAGCGACGGGACUUCCGACGCCAACCGGACGUCCGACCCUGCCUGUGCGCAGUCGGGCCUUUGGCCUUGUAUCUCUCUCCCACUUACCCCUUCGUGGCUUAGACUAUAAAUAGACCUUCCCCUCAUCCUUUCUAGGGUUAGCAAAGUGAUAGCUCAUUUGAUAGAGAGCUUUGCUCCUUGUACCACUAUACUCUUGAGAGAGAGAGAAUACUACUCCAUUGGAGGCCAAGACCUCCAUCUAGGAGAAGAUCCUGCGGGAUAUAUCGUCAAGACCCCCGUGUGGUAAGAUCCUUCUAGGAUUCAAGUCCCCAUCUCCUUUGGAUUUGGGAUGAACUCUACCAUCAAGACCUCCUCAUGGAGAUGAACCUUACCUUGUAUCUUUCCCUUUGUUGUUCAUGUACCUUGUGGAUCUUGUGUGUUUGAUUGUCUAGUGGAUGUGUGAUUGGACUUGUUCUUGAGUGUUCCCCCUUGUGUUUUCUCUCCGUUCUUCCCCGUGUUCUUCGUGUUCUUCGCGGGAUCCGCUCCUUUCGUGAAAGAUCGGCCGCAUAGGGUUCCACCCCAUCAUCUUGGUAUCAUGAGCCAUGUUGAUCACGAUUUCGGAGCCUCCCCUCGUUGUUUUCUAGCCUAAUUUUGUUGUGUUCUUCCCCAAAUUCAAAAAUCCCCACCAAAAAUAGCCCCAAUUUUUUUUGUGAUUUGUUGGUUUGACGAAGUUUUGUUGAUUUUGAUCCGUGGAUUUGCUUAGUUUCAAGUGGAUCUAGCAUUUGCCAAAUUUCCCCAUCUUUCACCCACGAAAUCUCCUCAAUUUUGACCCCAAAAUCCCCAUUUUCCGCCCAAAAUCGCGUCCCGAAACUCGCAUCUCGAGUUGACCCCGACCCACCGGACGGCGGACCUUUCACGGACGUCCGGAGCCCCUGGAACGACCGGACGUACGACCUCUUCCGGACGACCGGAACCCCUAACCCGAGCCUAAUUUACGGAUUUCCGAGCCCGCCCGGACGUCCGGCCCCCGGACAUCCGACCUUGUCCGGACGUCCGUAACCUGUAGUUUCAGAUUUGAGCUGAUUUUUGUUUCGGCCAUAACUAAUUCAUCCGGAGUCUGAUUAUCGCGUUAUUUAGCUCGUUGAAAAGCUCUUGACAUCCCCCUUCCCACAAAAAUACCACCAACAUCUUUUGACUCCAUCAAUUUUUGACAAUUUUGGCAUCUUUGCCUAGGGCUUCCACCACAUCAUCCGCUACUCCAUCACCGACUUCCGCAACCUAACCAAUAUUGAUCCCCAUCGCAUUAGUGGUUGCUUGAGGAGUGAUGUGAGUCUCCUAAGGUGUCUAGGCUACUUAGGGAUGGUUGCUUCUUCAUCAACCACCACCACCACCAUAACUUCCGCGUAGGCUUGACCACUAUACACUCCCGCCACCCCAACUUAACCCAAUUUUGUUUGAGUUGUGAGUUGUGUCACCUAAGGUGUUUUAGCUACUUAGGGACCGAGCUUCCUACUCUGACACCGUGUAUAGUCCACCACCUUACCCUCCAUUUCCGCAUUGCGUACUCCACAACCCAUCAUUGCAUUGCGAGUCGAGCUGAGGUUGAGACUCAUAGACUAAUCGUGGCUACUCUAGACUACUGCUGGACUAGUCGACAUGGUACUAUAGUACUCAACUUACAGUACUCAAUUACUAAGGCCGGUUUCAACUGUCUCCCUUGUUAUAUUGUACGCCCUUCGUCUUAAAAUAAGUGUAUAGUUGAGACACUUAUUUUGGGGCAGAGGGAGUACAAUAUAAUAAGGGAGAGGAACACAGCAGCAGAGGAGGACAGCAUGGGAAGGAGCACAGCAGCAGUGGAGGACAGCAAGGGAGGAGCAUAGCGGCAGAGGGGCAGAUCCAGGGGAGGUGUAGAACCAAUGGAGGUAGAGGAGCGGAAUGCUCCUGACCACCGCUGGGGGUGGCAGUGGCCUGGUCCCAGGAGGCUGGAAAGCUAGGGUUGCAUUUUACCCCUCCUGCGGGCUGCUGACUUAUUGAAAGUGCUAGUUAUUGACUAGAGGGGGGGGGUGAAUAGGCGUUUCUUAUGAUUGUCUUCGAAACAUGCAAUGUCUUCGAAGAUGCGAAAGCAAAACAGUAAUUAAACAUGAUACAUCGAAAGAUAAACUACACUAGGUAUGCUGGCAUGUCAACACAAUUGAAGUGAGAAGCGUAGACAUACACAAACAAGGCAGCACAAAAUGUAGAUGAAGUUAAUGUGAAGACAAAGAUGUACAUAGAGAGAAAGAUCCGCAAAUCUUGCCAAAUUACUCGGGUAAGUCUUUAAGGAAGACUUCCAAACCUUCACAGACUUCGUUCACCGGCAAUCCACAAUGACUCUUGGAUGCUCAGAACGCGAUGCGACGCCUAACCGGCUGGAAGAUGACAGUCUUCAAGUGUAACAAGUCUUCGGUUCACGUGGAACAGAAAGGCUUCAGUGAUGCUCAAUCACUUCGGGCUCUGAGUGUUUUGGAUUUAUCCUCGCAAGGAAUCUCUCUCAAAGGCUUUGGAGGUGGGUUGCUCUCAAACGACAACAGCCGUGUAAUAAGUCCGAGCAGCCACCAACUAAUGGUGGAGGGGGUGGGCUAUUUAUAGCCAGGAGGCAACCCGGCAUGAUAUGACCGAAAUGACCCUGGGUCAUUGGCCAACCGACACGUGUCCAACGGUUAGUCGGAUUUCAAACACAUGCGGCAGCUUUACUUGAGUAUACAAUUAUCUAAGUAGUUUUAUCAAUCACCAAUACAUAUACAUACUUGAAGCUUAGCUCUGGAAGCACCUCCAAAUCCUUUUUUUUCUAUAUUAUACCUCCAAAUCUUUCAUCAGGACACGUCGUUUUCUUCAUAACUGUCUUUAAACAUGUUCAUAUUGCAUAAUUUGUGUCAAUGUAUAAAACCUAGAAAAGAACCAAACAAUUAUUCCCUCUGUCCGUGUUUAUUGGGCCUGAGAGCCAAAGCGCAAAGAUCAAGGAAGAGCAAUAAAUCUCCUAAAUUACCCCGUAAUUGCCCUAUUAAUUAGGGAUGCUAACCACCCCAACGCAUGCAUUGGCUACGGCAUGCAUGUCCAAUCAAAUAGGACCGUGCGCUGCGUACCAUGGAGUGACUCGGGAAACCGGGGCAUAACUGACUUGGUAUUAUAUUGAGGACUUAAAAAUAGGGACAAUCUUUGGUGGCUCUUGGGCCCAAUAAACCCGGACGAAGUAUGUGGUUUACAGUUAAUACAGUUGGCACACACGAGUACAAAAAAAUACAGAAUUGUUUUUGCAAAUUGAGGAAUCCCAGAACGCUCAUGUUACAUAUUCUGAUUCGUAUCUCUUCCAUGUGAGACCAGUGACCUCAGAUCAUCCCGGACUUAUGUGCUGGAAUAGCUUUGUUAUGAGUUGAAGCAGCCUCAGCUACUAUUCCUACUAAGGAGGAGUUGCCUUUUUCAAUUCCCUCCCUUUUGCAGGGCUUAAAAGGAAUGAGCUAGAUCGCAGGUAUUUGGAUACGAGGUAGUAGCGGGGUCUAGUCGAAGUGGUGCGAAAGUGUACAAAGGCGAGUCUCACUUUAAUGAGCCAAAUACGAGUUUAGGUACUAUGAAUAUAAGUGUCUCUGAAACCCAUGAAAUUGCAUAAGUUGUCAGAUAUGUUAAAAUCCUAGAUAUCUCUCAGCAGAUAGAUCUGUAGUAAAAAGGUUUAAAAUGUCACUUACAAUAGCCCUGAUCAAUCUAAUCAAAUGGACUAAAGACCUCCCUUUUGUUGUCAGGGAUUGUUCUAGUUGCAUUUACAACACUGGCCACAGAGUAAUCUGGACAAACAGUGUCCAUAUGUUUCAUUUGCAUGGCCUCACAGAUUCACAAUACUAAGCCGUAAGAUCUUCCAGUCCACCUAAUGGGUCAUACAGAAUUUGACGUAGGCAUCCAGAGGUCUCAUUUGGUUGUUUCAAUAUAGUCAACAAUUGAAAACGGUGCAAUAUGUUUAUUAUUUGAAAAUCUGUCAUGUUUCCAAUAGUUUUGUGUAUACUUUUGUGUUUGCAGUAGUUCAUAUUCAUUCCCUUGCUAACAAAUUGUAUUUUUCGUUGGAACUAGCUGCAUGCUUUCGUGGAGUAUGAGACUCAUGAGGAUGCUGAGAAGGCAGUAUGUGUACUACAUGAUUUUGAAUUCCGAAGCACAAUGUUUGUGCUGUGUUUUGCCUUGAUGUUGGUUGAUUUGAUGCAGAUUCUGGAGCUGAAUGAUGAAAGGAACUGGAGAAAUGGGCUUAGAUCACGGCUGCUGAAUACUUGCAUGGUAGACACACAUACUGGGAUCGGCUAUUCAUAUAUUGUCUCUAGUUUACCACUGAUAUAUUUAAUGUUAAUAUGUGCACUUGUGUUUAUCUGUCAUAUAAUAUAUAAGUGAUAAGCUGAUAUACUCGGUUAAAAGCUUCUUUAGAUUGUGUGUACUUGUGCCCUAGUGCUUGUGUUCAAAUCGGCCUCAGCAAUUAGUUUUGCUUUUGCUGAUAUAUAUAUAUACACAACGAUAGUUUUGCUUUGCUUGCCAAUGACUUACUAUUGUGUCAACAACCUCGUCACCAUCUGUAAUCAACUGUUACAGUUUAUGUUCUCUAUUUGGGUAUCAGUAGUGAACGUCAAUAUACUUGAUGUUGUUGUUUCACAAAAUCAAUGUGGUAACUUCUGCAAAAGAAGUAUAUCAAAUAUGUAUGUCAGUAUGUCAUGGAUUGCUAUCUACUCCCUCUGAUCCAUAAUAAGUGUGGUUUUAGUUCAAAUUUGAACUAAAACCACGACACAUGGGUUGCUAUCUACUCCCUCCGAUCCAUAAUAAGUGUCGUGGACUAAAACCACGACACUUAUUAUGGAUUGGAGGGAGUAAUUCCAAUGUACUCCCUCCGCCCCAUAAUGUAAGACGCCUUUUGACUCUAGUGUAGUGUCAAAAAACGUCUUACAUUAUGGGACGGAGGGAGUAACUUAUAAAUAUGAUGUUUCGGUAUUCAGUAUUAAUAUUCUUUUGGUAUGAUUUGGGUGUAGACAAAGGGUCCAGUAAAAGGGAAAACGGGAGGGCAUGAAGGUGAUGGAAAUGGUGAGGAAGACGUCUCCACUUCAAACCAAUCAAAUGAGAGACAGCUUGAAGGAUCCUUUCAACUGUCAGAUGUAUUGCCAGAGCACCUGGUAAGAAAUCUUGGUGUAAUCUACUUGACACAGCACAUGCUUAUUUAAAAUUAAGUCUCACUUGGAUGUGAGGUAAAAGUGUGAUCAUCUAAACCCCAGAAAUAUUAUUCUUCCAAACUUAGACGCCAGGAAGUCGGGAUUAUUGAAUUUCAGUAACCUUACCACCCUGAUAUUGUGCAGUUUGAUGAGAACAACAGUGACAAGCAAGGUCCAAAGCGUGGCAAAGGUCGUGGGCGUUGCGGUAAAGGCCGAGGCCGUGGCUACAAUCAACUGAACAACAAUCAUCAUCACAUUCACAAUGCCAGCAACCAUCACCAGGUUAUCAACAGUUGUGGCAGCCAUCCAGUCGGGAUACCACCGAACACCCAGCUUAUCAUGGUCGAGCAGCUACUACCUGUGGCAAACAAACAGCCUCCUGGCCCACGUAUGCCUGAUGGCACUCGUGGUUUCGCCAUGGGCAGGGGGAAGCCAUCAUCAGCUUCUUGCACUGUCGAGCUUUAAACCCAUUGCUAUGCUCUCAUGUUGAUAUAGAUGGUUUCGAACCUAACCUGUUUCUUGCAUGGAUGUGUGCUUUGGUAUUUUUGGACUCCUCGUUGUGGACCAAUGGUUGAUCUCUUGUACUUGAAAACUGGAGGUGUGCCGGUGUGUGUCAUGCGGUUAUUGUAGUUCUACCUUUUAGGCUUUGUUCGUUUAAUCCCCGCCCCCGCCGGGAUCGGCGGGGUUUUGGC
rnacentral:lncRNA from 1 species